GAUAUUGCACAAUGGGGGAAACCCUGAUGCAGCGACGCCGCGUGAGUGAAGAAGUAUUUCGGUAUGUAAAGCUCUAUCAGCAGGGAAGAAAAUGACGGUACCUGACUAAGAAGCUCCGGCUAAAUACGUCCCAGCAGCCGCGGUAAUACGUAGGGAGCAAGCGUUUUCCGGAUUUACUGGGUGUAAAGGGAGCGUAGAGGGUGUGCCAAUUCUGAUGUGAAAGGUGAGGGCUCAACCCUUAAACUGCAUUGGAAACUGGUGUACUUGAGUGUCGGAGAGGUAAGUGGAAUUCCUAGUGUAGCGGUGAAAUGCGUAGAUAUUAGGAGGAACACCAGCGGCGAAGGCGGCUUACUGGACGAUAACUGACGUUGAGGCUCGAAAGCGUGGGGAGCAAAC
rnacentral:rRNA from 1 species